rnacentral:rRNA from 1 species
GAUGAACGCUGGCGGCGUGCCUAAUACAUGCAAGUCGAGCGAACAGACGAUGAGCUUGCUCCGUUGACGUUAGCGGCGGACGGGUGAGUAACAUGAGGAUAACCUACCUAUAAGACUGGGAAAACUUCGGGACACGGGAGCUAAUACCGGAGAAUAUAUUGCACCGUAUGGUGCAAUAGAGAAAGACGGCUGUGCUGUAUCGUAUAGAUGGUUCCGAGCCGCAUUAGCUAGUUGGUAAGGUAAAGGCUUAUCAAGGCUACGAUGCGUAAACGAGCUGAGAGAGUGAUCGCCGACACGAGAACUGAGACACGGUCCAGGCUCCUACGAGAGGCAGCAGUAGGGAAUCGUCCGCAAUAGGCGAGAGCCUGACGGAGCAGCGCCAAGUGAGUGAUGAAGGUCUUCGGAUCGUAAAGCUCUGUUAUUAGGGAAGAACAAAUUUGUAAGUAGCUAUGCCCGUCUUGACGGUACCUAAUCAGAAAGCCACGGCUAACUACGUG